AGUUGGCUUUCAAUCUUUAUCAGAUUGCCAGGGGAUCACAGCUGGAAAAUCAACCUAACAGUCAGACCUCAUUAAAAACAGGGUUUUGUUAAUCCUCUGCUGACAGAUUAUAAAGCUAAUCAAAACAGCAGUCACCCAAUAAGUUAGAAGUGGUGAUAAAGAGGGGCUGAGUCCUUACCGCCUAUACUAAAGCCUACCUCUGGAACAGAAAGAUUUUAGUGCAAGUAUUAUCCCUGAGAAAGCAUGAUCUUCUAUUUUUACUGACAGGAAGGGAAAGUACAAAGUUUUCACUUUAAUAUUGCUUCAGUUGACAUGGAUCAUACAAUAAUCCUCACUUCAGGCUGAAGUAUUUCUUUUAUGGUAUAAAAUAUGUAUUUUAUGCCAUACUUAACACAGCUGGGUUAGUUCUCCAUAAUAAUCUCAAACCUGGUAUCACUUCUGCCCUAGUCUACUUCCCAAAGGCCUACCCUUAGAAUAAACAUAAUAUGCAAUAUAUUCUUCAGAUGAAAGCCCUACUAACAUGCCAAUUUGAAUUCCUUUAUAGUGCAAACUCCAGGACCUAUUGUACAAUAUACUGGAUCCAGUAGUGGUAAGUCCCAUAAAUCCUCCCUUGUGUUUCCUCAUCUUCUUCAGUGUCUACAAGGUCCAUUCCCCAUCCUACCUGUGUCUAUUUGUGGUAAGAACAGCAGUUAAAGACGUGUUUCCAUGUGUCCCCCUUUCCACCUGCUGAGUUCUCCAGAAAUUUUUAAGAAAAAAACUAAUGAUGGUCUCUAUAACAAAUCUAGAAAAUUCUCUAAAUAGAGAAGGAAUAAUAAUGCAUUUUUCUAGUUCUUGACUGCUUUGUACUUUAUAAAAGGCUUACCCAGAGAUAGUUGAGACAAUGUAGAGAAAAUGAGAAAGCAGUUAAUGUGAUGCCUCUGGCUUUGGUAUUUUUGUUCAAGAUUACUUUGGCUAUUCAAGAGUUCUUAUAAUGUCAUAGACAUGUGGGGAUUUUUUCUAGUUUUUGUGAAGAAUCUCAUAGUAUUUUGUUGAAGACUGCACUGAAUCUGUAAAUCACUUUGAAUAAUAUGAACAUUUAAUAAU
rnacentral:lncRNA from 1 species